GACGAACGCUGGCGGCGUGCUUAACACAUGCAAGUCGAACGGACAGACAGAGAGCUUGCUCUCUUGAAGUUAGUGGCGAACGGGUGAGUAACGCGUAAUCAACCUGCCCUUCAGAGGGGGAUAAUAACGGGAAACCGUUGCUAAUACCGCGUACGAUUCAUGAACGGCAUCGUUUAUGAAUGAAAGGUGGCCUCUAUGUAUAAGCUAUCGCUGAAGGAGGGGAUUGCGUCUGAUUAGCUAGUUGGAGGGGUAACGGCCCCCAAGGCAAUGAUCAGUAGCCGGUCUGAGAGGAUGAACGGCCACAUUGGGACUGAGACACGGCCCAAACUCCUACGGGAGGCAGCAGUGGGGAAUCUUCCGCAAUGGACGAAAGUCUGACGGAGCAACGCCGCGUGAGUGAUGAAGGUCUUCGGAUUGUAAAGCUCUGUUAAUCGGGACGAGAGUUCUGCGUGAAUAAUGCAGAAAAGUGACGGUACCGGAAUAGAAAGCCACGGCUAACUACGUGCCAGCAGCCGCGGUAA
rnacentral:rRNA from 1 species